rnacentral:lncRNA from 1 species
UUUGUUACAGCUCCUUAGGAGGGACUGGCUUGAACUAGCUUAAAUAGGAUUAUAAUCCUGUGUUUGGUGGCUGGCGGGACUAACAUUAAUGGCACUAGGUGGGACUCGCUUUCACAAACUCCUUCACUAGCCGGUCUUAGCGAGAGACCUCGACACCCAUAGGACUAGCUAAGACCUUCCAUCGUCCUCUCUUGCCUUCGUCCACUCUCGCUGCAUCUUUAUCUCCUUCGUCUGCUUCGCUGCCCUGGGUUCAUCGACCUCGAUUUUCUACGGCAUGGGAUUCAAUGAAAGCUGGAAGUUGGAGAGGCGUAGGGACAAGUAAGUUUACAGAGAUUGGAGAAAAGGGAAAUAGGAGGGAGAGGCGGAGGGACAUGGGGAAAAAGGGAAAGGAGGAUGGAGAGGCGGGUGGAGAAAUAAGGUUACAGAGAGAUUGGAGAAGGGGAAAAAGGGAAAGGGGAUGGAGAAAAGGGAAAUAGGAGGGAGAGGCGGACAGACAAAAAUGGGGUAAAAGGGAAAGGGGGAUGGAGAGGUGUAGUAAAAGGGAAAGGGGGAUGGAGAGGUGUAGGGACAAGUUAACAGAGAUCGGAGAAGGGGAAAAAGGGAAAGGAAGAUUGGAGAGGAUGAUGAUUAUAGAAGAAGGAAAAAACAAGAUAAAGUAAUAAUAAAAUAUUAAUCAAUAUAUAUUAAAUUAAUAUAAAAUAAUAUAAUAUUGUAAUCCUGCUUCUUAGUCCGACACUGCACCAAACGCUUCACUAAACUAGUCUAGCUUAGUCUAGUCUAAGCCAGUCCAGCUUAGUCCCUGAAGCUAAU